UUAAAAAGCUCGUAGUUGGAUCUCGGCGGUCUGAGGGCGGUUCGCUUGAUUGAGUGCUACUGCUCUAUAGGCCGUGGUUUUGCCAGAGGUCUCGGGGUGCUCUUAACCGAGUGUCCUGCGAUGCUGGCAGGUUUACUUUGAAAAAAUUAGAGUGCUCAAAGCAGGCUUUUACGCCUGAAUAUUCGUGCAUGGAAUAAUAGAAUAGGAAGUCGUUUCUAUUUUGUUGGUUUUCGGAAAUCGACUUAAUGAUUAAUAGGGACAGUCGGGGGCAUUUGUAUUCAAACGACAGAGGUGAAAUUCUUGGACCGUUUGAAGACAAACUACUGCGAAAGCAUU
rnacentral:rRNA from 1 species